UAGAAUAUUCGCAUGACAGUCUGUUGCAAAUUGGAUGUCUUGGAGUAACAGAUUUUAGAAUGUUCGCAUGACAGUCUGUUGCAAAUUGGAUGUCUUGGAGUAACAGAUUUUAGAAUGCUGUUCCUUUCAUUCAACGUUUACAAAAUUCCAUCAUCUAAAAUCUUCCUACAUCCACUAUUUAAACAUACAGGCUGAAAGUCAGUGAAAGACCUUCUGGUCUUUUUAAAAAUUAUUAUUAUUUUUAUUUCACCUUUAUUUAACCAGGUAGGUCAGUUGAGAACACCUUUAUUUAACCAGGUAGGUCAGUUGAGAACACCUUUAUUUAACCAGGUAGGUCAGUUGAGAACACCUUUAUUUAACCAGGUAGGUCAGUUGAGAACACCUUUAUUUAACCAGGUAGGUCAGUUGAGAACACCUUUAUUUAACCAGGUAGGUCAGUUGAGAACACCUUUAUUUAACCAGGUAGGCUAGUUGAGAACACCUUUAUUUAACCAGGUAGGUCAGUUGAGAACACCUUUAUUUAACCAGGUAGGCUAGUUGAGAACACCUUUAUUUAACCAGGUAGGUCAGUUGAGAACACCUUUAUUUAACCAGGUAGGUCAGUUGAGAACACCUUUAUUUAACCAGGUAGGUCAGUUGAGAACACCUUUAUUUAACCAGGUAGGUCAGUUGAGAACACCUUUAUUUAACCAGGUAGGUCAGUUGAGAACACCUUUA